GCCAGGUCCUGAUGGGAUUGUUGGAUUCCCUGGCGUUCGUGGACCUCAGGGGAAAACAGGUGCAGGUGGGCCUACAGGUCCGAAAGGGGAUCCCGGUGACGCAGGUGAUGAGGGAAAUAUAGGAGAAUCCGGACUCUCUGGGAUUCACGUAAGCACAUUAAUGUACACGUAAGAAUUGAAAACUCGAAGCAAUGUAUUUUAUUAAACCAAUUAUACUGAAAAAGUCAUUCAAACUUAGCCUCUGUUUUUUCCUUCUUAUCAGGGAGCCAAUGGCAAACCAGGAAAAACUGGACCCUCAGGGGAUCAAAGCAUCUAAGAGAAGUGACAAGGGUGACCCAGGAUUUAAAGGGGACCAGGGUCGACCCGGGCCUCCAGGUAAAAGAGGCUUUAAAGGCAGAGGAGGAGCAUCAGGGCUGCUAGGUAAUGUUGGACCAGUGGGGCCCCCUGGAUUUCCUGGAACCACAGUAAGUAGAACCUCUUCAAUCUGGUCACUGCACAGUACUGUAAUGGGAUGGAAUAUCAUUACACCUGUUCAGAUCACCAUAUCCUGA
rnacentral:lncRNA from 1 species